UACGUAGGGUGCGAGCGUUAAUCGGAAUUACUGGGCGUAAAGCGCACGUAGGCGGCUUUGUAAGUUAGAGGUGAAAGCCCGGGGCUCAACUCCGGAAUUGCCUUUAAGACUGCAUCGCUAGAAUUGUGGAGAGGUAAGUGGAAUUCCGAGUGUAGAGGUGAAAUUCGUAGAUAUUCGGAAGAACACCAGUGGCGAAGGCGACUUACUGGACACAUAUUGACGCUGAGGCACGAAAGCGUGGGGAGCAAACAGG
rnacentral:rRNA from 1 species